CUCUAACCGUCAUAGAAUUUGUUAAUCGACAAUGAGACAACAAUCCUCAAGAGACCGAAUGACGUAAAUCUACCAAAACCCAUUCGGUAAAGCAAGCUAUAAAAGGUAUCGACAAGAAAAACUAUAACACGAUUAAAAUGAGAAUACCAACGGUCCGAUUUAUAUACAAACCAUAAUAGUAAACGAGGAACAAAUAGAAUAUACAGCAACAACUACAGAAAAACAUGCUAUUGACCUUGAGCAGACACAAACAGAAUGUGGAGGGGUAAAUAUGUUUACAGAAGUUUAACCCUCCCAACAAGGGACAGUGGUGUAAAGCACAACAUAAAAAAAUGUUAAAAUCAGUUGAAAAGGACUCGACUAAUCAAAUCAAUAUACUGAAACACAACUAUAACAAAAAGACUACAUGCACUCACUCUCAAUCUGAGAGUAUUUACAGUUAUUAAAAGCUAGUUCAAAGCCAAUAAUACUUAAUACAAAAAAUUGUGUAACAAAGAUAAAAUACCAAGCAGUAUACAUGUCUGCUCGUCCUAAAUAUGUAUAAAAUAUUUUCCACUGGACGUUAGGCAAAC
rnacentral:lncRNA from 1 species